rnacentral:rRNA from 1 species
UACGUAGGGGGCGAGCGUUGUCCGAAGUUACUGGGCGUAAAGAGCGCGUAGGCGGGUCUUUAAGUGAGUGGUGAGAGGUUCGGGCUCAACCCGGACACUGCCUUUCAUACUGGGGACCUUGAGUGCGGGAGGGGCGAGUGGAAUGGUCGGUGUAGCGGUGAAAUGCGUAGAUAUCGAUCGGAACACCCAUGGCGAAGGCAGCUCGCUGGCCUGCAACUGACGCUGAGGCGCGAAAGCUGGGGGAGCAAACAGG